rnacentral:misc_RNA from 1 species
AACCUUCUUUGCAAAGAAGAGUUUUGUAGGACAAAAUCAGCUGGCUUGUAAGGUUUUUGUUUCCGAAAUGAAAUUAUGCAUGCUUCGGACAUUGUAUUUACGAUCAAAACCAAAGUUUAGUGCGAGAAAUUUUCAUUGGUGGAAUUAUCAUCACUCUGAUCAAUUGGUUCAAAACGCAUAUAUUUCGUGGACACCAAAUCUCAACUUUACAAACCCAAACAUUAAAAACGUCCAAGUUAUUAUGUUACAAUGAAUCACAUUAUUAUCAGACAUGCAAAAGACAAAAAUCCAAACGUGAUACCAGAAGAUUUAAUUAUGAAGAAGACAGUGAAGAUGACGAUGACAAUUUGACAGAGGAUGAGGAGGAGGAGGAUGAAGUCUUCCAAGUAAACUUUUUAGAGCAUAGAUAAAACAGUAUUCCCUUGAUGCUCUCUCUCUCUCUCUCUCUCUCUCUCUCUCUCUCUCUCUCUCUCUCUCUCUCUCUCUCUCUCUCAGAGUUUUUAGAAAAUGAUUUGAACUAGUCAACUCAAAAGGAUUUAGGAGGUGGUAGUUGAAAUUUUGUAAGGUUUAUUGGUCAUUGAUAUAUACAUGUCUAAGUUUAACUUGAAAUAUAGAAUGACUGUGAUCAAGGUGAAGAAGUAAUAGUGGAACAUCAUUCUGUAAUUGUUUGUUGCCUUUUAAUUGGUUUUUUUUUUUUUUAUCUUUCCCUAACUUUCAAUUAUAAUUGUCAGAAAUACAAGCAUUAUGAAGGAGAUGAGAUUGCAACACCAGAGCCUACUCACAGGGUAAUCUAUGUCAGCUCAACAAGAGUGGAUGCUGUCCUUACAAAGGCAUUUGGCAUCGCCAGAGCGUAAGUCAGUGUGUGUGUGUGGGUGUGUGUGUGUGUGUGUGUGUCUCUCUCUCUCUCUCUCUCUCUCAUCGAAAACAGUGUACUUUGUAUUUCAAUUUGUGUACAUAUUUCAAUUUGUGUAUAUCUUAACAAAUAACACUUAAGUUCAUUUAUUUUGGAAUAUUUCUCAUUGUGUUCUUCAUAUUUCCUCAGUUCAAACCUAACCAUGUACUGGGUAUACAGUAUUUUAUCAAUACUCAGUCUAAUAAAUUGAACUGAAGGAAAUAUUGAACUAUUGAGAAAACCAAUAAUUUCCUGAGUUAAAAUGAUUGGAAGUUCACGUGUGUGGUUUGUUCGGGCAAGAAACUUGCUAUCUAUAAAUUAAAGCAAUUCAUAUAUGUCUCUAACUUUGUUUUUACUCUCUAGUAAAAUAGAAGAGAAACUGAUAACACAGAAUUGCCUUGUGAACGGAAAACAUCUGAAGAAGAAAUCUUAUCAGGCUAAAGUAGGAGAUUGCAUUGAUCUUAUCAAGGAGAAAGCAGGAUCUCAUAACACUGUACAGAGGAUCCGAGUUCUGGACAUAGUGGGAGGGAAAUCAAGGUCUGGGAACACCAAAGUGAUAUUAAGACUUUGGAAAAAAGCUUUUCCAGUGGAAAUAUCUUGAUGAAUGAUAGAGGAAUGGAAAUAAAACUGUGAUAUUGC